rnacentral:tRNA from 1 species
GUCCAGGGUAGCCUAGUGGUCAUGGCAUCUGCCCGGUAAGCGGAAGGUCGUGGGUUCGAUUGCCAUCCCUUGACA